rfam:Salmo salar isolate Sally breed double haploid chromosome ssa12, whole genome shotgun sequence.
CCAAAGGCUCUUUUAAGAGCCACCCACAUGCGCUUCAAAAAGGCC